rnacentral:rRNA from 1 species
AUGGCUCAGAUUGAACGCUGGCGGCAGGCCUAACACAUGCAAGUCGAGCGGAUGACAGGAGCUUGCUCC